rnacentral:rRNA from 1 species
CCUACGGGAGGCUGCAGUGGGGAAUAUUGCGCAAUGGGCGAAAGCCUGACGCAGCGACGCCGCGUGAGGGAUGAAGGUCUUCGGAUCGUAAACCUCUGUCAGCAGGGAAGAACGGUCACUGUGCUAAUCAGCAGUGAAUUGACGGUACCUGCAAAGGAAGCACCGGCUAACUCCGUGCCAGCAGCCGCGGUAAUACGGAGGGUGCGAGCGUUAAUCGGAAUUACUGGGCGUAAAGCGCUCGUAGGCGGUAUGUCAAGUCAAGGGUGAAAUCCCCGCGCGCAACGUGGGAACUGCUUUUGAAACUGGCAGACUGGAGUGUGUGAGAGGAUAGUGGAAUUCCAGGUGUAGGAGUGAAAUCCGUAGAUAUAUGGAGGAACAUCAGUGGCGAAGGCGACUAUCUGGCACAUAACUGACGCUGAGGAGCGAAAGCGUGGGUAGCAAACAGGAUUAGAUACCCGGGUAGUC